AUAGCCAAUCACUACCACAGUCAAGCUAAAUGACUAUAACCAAGCACUGAGUGGGAGGCAACCCACUAUUAGGUAUUUUAUUUUGGUUUUAUUAGCUAGCAUUUAUUUACUUUCGUUUUAUUUCUUUCAGAUUUAAGAGACCCAAGUAGGAGGACCUGAAUAUCGACCGCCGACGAGACGUCGACAUCGCUCGACAUGGACAAACACACGACGAUCGAUGCAACAUUUUCCCAUCGAUCGAUAUCUAAUCCGGUCAGAUGUAUCUUCCUUACUUGUUACAUUUCGUACAUCAUGAAUUACUCCA
rnacentral:lncRNA from 1 species